UUUUCUCCAGAAGAGGAAGGAAUAGAAUCAGUGGGAUUUUUCCUCCCGUUAAUUCGAGAGCUCGACUCUAUUUUGCGGGAAACGAUACUCGUUUACUGUCUCGAACGAUUGCAUACCGGAUAAGGAGAACGUGACUUCCGAGUUGUUUCCAAGAUUUUAGAAUUUGCAUCAUGGUGGAAAGAGAGUAUAGUUUAAUUCGUUUACGAGCGGAAUUGUUCCAUACUUUCGAGUUGGAUUGAGUGGAGAAUGAGAUGAAAUUUGAGGCGAUAAAUAUCCGAGGCGGAGAACAUUUCAACUAAGAUCCAUUUGUAACUUUGAGAAAAUGGAGAAGAUGAUGAAAGCUUUUCGAUUACUGCGGAAAAUCAAAAUUUAAGAAAAAUACCGAAGAAUAUUGCCAAAUUUCCUACGAAAACUUGGAAAAAUUUGGCAAACUUUCAAAAAUUCAUAAAAACUUCGGAACCUCGAAAUAUUAAAAAAGGGAGGAGAUAAACUUUCGAUAAAGUUAGAUAAAGAAAGGAAUCCCAAGAUGAUAACUCCUUCUUGAAUAAGAACACACACACACAGAUUCGCAAAAAAAUCUACGUUUUACGAAGAAUUGGAUAAAAUUUGAGACAAGAAUUCUUCAUUGUUAAAACGACAGGAAUGUAAAUAAACGAGCAACUAACGCGAAACAAUAUCAAUUUGACUCUGUUCAUCAGAUUAAGCGCGUAUUAAUUAAAAAGUUUUAUAAACAAAAAGAGAGAAACCGGCGAUCUUUGACUUGGCGAUUAAUCGUGCAAUCUCCUCAUUCAGGAAAAUAUUGUUUAACGAGCGUCAAUCAACGUAGAAUUAUAUUACAUGCAAUGAAUCACUAUACACGUAAUUGAAAUGCAUGGUUGAAUGAUCGAUGAAGUCUUUAUUACAGGGACGAUUGAAUUAGAAUGGAAUACGAAUUGAAGGGCGAUCGUUCACCUGUUGAUGCGUGAAUACGAUGGGCCGUUGUCCUGGCACACGAAGACCUCCAGGGAGAAGGAUAACGAUUAUUGUCGGAGAAGUGGCUUCCGGUAUCCUUCGAUGGACACCGUCGUCUUUUUCUUCGUUGAUUGUCGUUGGACAAUUCAGGUUUUUUAUAAAUAUAUUCUUCUAUAAAUGAUUUCUUUUCAGAUAGAAUUCAAAAACGGAUAUUAACUCGUGCUCUCUCGAUUUUCCAAAUAUUUAAAAGAUCCAUUGUCCGUUAACCCACUAAAGGAUUUCCAAUUUUCGAGGGAUUCCAUCAAUUUUUCGUGGAAACGAUCGUUGCGGAGGGAAAAAAGAGAGAAACGCAACCCCGCGGUUUCGAAGGGGGUAAGAUUAAAGGCGAGGGCGGGACGAGAAGAAGGCAGAGUUCGAUCAGAUAUAUUCCGUUGGGUUUCGAAAAGCGGGCCACGUAAUGAAUUCGUGCGCCCUUCGUCGAUGGCCUGGUUUCAUUGCGAGCUACGCCAUGCUAAAUGAAGGUACGACCUUCCGCGCGAGGGUCGCGCGAGGUCGCCGAAGAUUAGUCGCCGCUCCUUCGUGAACCUGAAAUUUCCCCGGCUCAGGAAAUUCAUCGAGAGGAUCCGUGAAUUAACACAUUCACAUAUGGUCGUUCAACCCUCUCUCAAUAAUGGAUAGAUACUUUUAAAAUCGCACAGAAAAAACGGCAUUGAGACGAAGGAAGGAAGCCAUCGCGCGAGCUGUUAACCCUUUCAUCGUUGCGAAACCGUACAUAGGUUUAAAACGGUUUCUGCAGUUUAAUUUAUCACCUGGACCAUUUAUCUUCCCGCAAAAAUUAAACUGAUCUUCUUACUACCGCCAUUUCCCCUAAUCAAUCCCAAAAAAACGUUGACACAUACGUCCUCGAGAUACAAUUAGCCCGGCUAAUUUCAUCCCCCGACUUUUCUUAUCGACCAUUUGUGAAUAGGGGUGGCUCGUUCAAACCACGUGUACACUCUUCUUGCCUCGUAAGUGGACGACGUAAUAACAAAUUGAAGGACAAAUCUGGGCAAAGAUACGCUUGUUCCACCGAUAAUUGAUCGAGUUGAGGAAUCAUCUUUAUUCGCGAAAAUAAAAGAGUGUUUAAAUACAAAAAGGGAGAGAAUCGACGAGUCUGAUAAUUUCCAUUCACCAAUACCGGACAUCUGAGAUACCUUUACAACUUAAAAAGAAAUUGGAACGAAGUAAUAAGAAAGCACGAGGAAGAAGAAGGAGAAGAAGAAGAAUCAUCUCUCUCUCUCUUUCUCUUAAUUGUUCGAACGAGCAGUUGAGCUCGUUAAAUCGGCGUUCCAGUUUGUCGGCCGGGGAGGGGGAGGUUGAGAAAGAAGGGAGGGGUUUUGGAAGGAGACAUUUUUCUCCGAGCACCGUUAAAUAAUUGUCUUCCUGAAACGAUUGGAAGAUAGCGAUGCAACGUGGUUAAAUCGAAAAGUCGAUUCCAACCCCCUCCCCGUCUCACCACCACCCCUCCCCAGAUACCGCUAACGGGAUCUGACAAGGCGAACGCCGGUACUCGCGCAUCUAUAGAGGGGCCGUAUCGAUUCUCGAGGCGGCAGGAACUCGCUGACAAGGUUACAAGGUUGCGCUAAUUGAGGGUUUUAAUUUCCUGUCCGCCCACCAGAACCCCCUCGCCCCCCUCCCCUCCUCCCCCGAUUUAUUCGGCCGGCCGCGAUACACGCGAUCCUUUUGUGUGCCGCCGCCGCUGGUUUUGUUAACCGAGUUAUUCGAUCGCACACUUUGGGAAGGAAAGGGUCUUUCUAGAAGAUAGAAUUGAUAACGCGGGGUAAAAGAAUCAGAGUCUGUGAUAUAUAAUAAUAAUCGAGAUUUUUUAAAAAUUUUUUUUCAAUUUUUAGGCUUCGUCAAUUUUCUAAUUUGGUGGCUAUGAUCGAAGUUCUUUGAGGCAUGGUUAAUCCCUGUGGAUGGAAUCCCGUUCGCGCGAUAAAGAUUUUUAAGUGGUUCGAUUUUAAAAAAAUUUUUAAAAUCUCGUUGGAAAAAUGGACGAGGGUUUGAUUGGCCAUCGUCGAUCGAACCCUUCUUGAAUUUUUGAAGAAAGUAAUAUUUAUUUGAAAUGUAUAUUUUUUUGUAGUUGAAAUAUUAUUAUUCGAGUGGUUAGUUGAUCUUCUUGAGGAAAGAUUGAUUAUACAUUCGUACGAGAAACACAAUUUUGCACGGGUGAGAAAAGUUUUCCCCUCGAUUUCGAAUAUUGUAACGAAUCAGCAAGAAGGUCUCUCUGGGGGUUCUGUUGAAAUUUCAAAAGACUUAAUAGGCUUAACGAACUUGGACCUCAAGUUUCGAAAGUCUCGAAUAUGUCGGCAGACUUUACGAAUCUUGAAGGAUCUUCUCUAAACUACCUUUACCCAAAAGCACCAAUUAUUAAGUAUUCAAGAUGUAUAUAUCGUUAGAAAUUCUAAUUUUCUUUCGUAACUGCGUGUUUUUGAAUGGAUUCGCGAUUUAAGCUAUUUUCGUAAAUAAAUAACAGAGAGAAAUAAAUAUAAAAUCACGUUCAAUAUUCCUAUAAUCCCAAAAAAUUUGAUGGAACAUCAAAAAAUCAUACAGAAAAGAGAAGAAUACUUUUUUAUUCGCUCGAAAAGGAUUAUAACGUGCAUUACUUAUUAUUGCCUUGAAUUUAGCGCCAAAAACCGAACUUAACCUACGAUUCGACGAAAAUUGCCGAAAAAAGCCGAGCGUAAUCGAGGAAAAUUGGUCUCGCGCACGCGCAAUAAAGUUAAAAAUAUCUUGCAUUAUCUUGCUUAUCUUGUCGCGAUUAAAACAAAUCGAUUAUUACAAUUGUUUCUUUUUUCCUCGACACGCGAUUCUCCGUUUAAUUUCUAUUUUUUUAUCAAAUUAAAAAUCUAUCUUGUGCGAUACGCCCUCUUGAACGGGUAGGAUGGAUCGUAGUUAUCUUUAAUAGGAAGCGUUACGGAGCGUACCGUUUCGUGCGAAUUUCUAAGACUUCCACAAAGGCUAUUUAGUCAAAGGUUCGAUAAUCUUCGUAGCGUAAACUACGCAUAGAAGUUAACGGCUGUGAAUUACGCCGAACAAUGCAUCGAAAUGAAACAUCGAAUUUCACAAACAGAAGGGAAAGAAGCACAAAAUUUAUCGAGAAUCCCUCUCCAAUCCGAUCUCUUUCGAUCGAAGAAAGAAAAUCGAAUCCCAAACCGAUCAAAAGAUUGUCAAGGGUCGAAAAGGAAGGGGGGAGAGGAGGAGAAGAGUUAAGAGAAGCGAGCGAGAACAGGAGAAGAGGGCCCCUGUUUAUUUGUUCUUUCGUAAAGUCAACAAAAAUUUCGCCGGCCCGGCACGAGCAUCGAACGAAGGAACAGUGGACGAUGGUCGAGCCAAAUGUAGUUGGCCGACCGGCCAAAAUGAGUUUGUGUCUAUUAUUACACUCCACCCAGCCGUGAGCCACGAGCCGGCACGGGGCCCGGUUAUACAGCCGUCUACAGGGUGUUCGCGUCGCUGCUCAACCGAUUUUCUCGUAAAUAUUAAGGUCGUCCAUUAAGUCGUGGAGAUCGUUUGUAAACGAUAAUAGGCUACAUCGAGUUUAUACUUCGCGCCAAUUUUUUUCCCCUCCCUGCUUCUUAAAAAGUCGGGUUGUUAUGGAGGGGGGAAAGUGGUUGAUGAUAAAUGGGAUUGAAAAAAGAAAUACUUUUUUUUUGGGAGCUCUUUUAAAAUUAUCUUAAA